AAUGAACGCUGGCGGCAGGCCUAACACAUGCAAGUCGAACGGAUCCUUCGGGAUUAGUGGCGGACGGGUGAGUAACGCGUGGGAACAUACCCAAAGGUACGGAAUAGCCUCGGGAAACUGGGAGUAAUACCGUAUGUGCUCGAAAGAGGAAAGAUUUAUCGCCUUUGGAUUGUCCCGCGUUGGAUUAGGUAGUUGGUGGGGUAAUGGCCUACCAAGCCGACGAUCCAUAGCUGGUUUGAGAGGAUGAUCAGCCACACUGGGACUGAGACACGGCCCAGACUCCUACGGGAGGCAGCAGUGGGGAAUCUUAGACAAUGGGGGAAACCCUGAUCCAGCCAUGCCGCGUGAUCGAUGAAGGCCUUAGGGUUGUAAAGAUCUUUCAGGUGGGAAGAUAAUGACUGUACCACCAGAAGAAGCCCCGGCUAACUCCGUGCCAGCAGCCGCCGUAA
rnacentral:rRNA from 1 species